CCUACGGGUGGCAGCAGUGGGGAAUAUUGGACAAUGGGGGCAACCCUGAUCCAGCAAUGCCGCGUGUGUGAAGAAGGCCUUCGGGUUGUAAAGCACUUUUAGCAGGAAAGAAAGGUUGCGUGUUAAUACCGCGCAAUUUUGACGUUACUUGCAGAAAAAGCACCGGCUAACUCCGUGCCAGCAGCCGCGGUAAUACGGAGGGUGCAAGCGUUAAUCGGAAUUACUGGGCGUAAAGCGCGAGUUCGGAGGUGAAAUCCCCGAGCUCAACUUGGGAACUGCAUUCGAUACUGGCUCGCUAGAGUGUGGUAGAGGGAAGUGGAAUUCCAGGUGUAGCGGUGAAAUGCGUAGAUAUCUGGGGGAACAUCAGUGGCGAAGGCGGCUUCCUGGACCAACACUGACGCUGAGGCGCGAAAGCGUGGGGAGCAAACAGGAUUAGAUACCCUUGUAGUC
rnacentral:rRNA from 1 species